rnacentral:lncRNA from 1 species
CCUGCCUCAAGCUGAUGAUCUUGAACUUGCCCUGAAGGAGGUAUCCAUUUUGCCAGUACAGGAGCCACAGAUCAUGCCCUCAGCCCAACUCAACUCACCAAUGCACCAGGAAGGGAAGGCAUAGGAAGGAGUCGACAGCCAUCCAGCAGCUGCAUGCACAUAGAGAUCUUCACCAUAGCCACAACCUUUGGUCCUGUUGGCUUCCUAUCCUUGUGCCACCACCAGCUCAAAGUGAACUCAAAGCAUCUUCAAGUGCAUGUCAGAGAAGGAGAGAAAUCUUACAGGUUUCCAGGAAUGAGAACAGCUGGAGAAACUGAAUGUUAUGCUUCAUUGAUGGGGGAAAUUCUCUGUACUGCAAUAUUAGUACUCACUGCCUGUUGUGGUCACCAAGCACUGUCAUCAACAAGGUUUCAAGGGGAUGGUAAGGAAGUGGGAUGUACUGAAGCUCUCAUGCUUGAGCAAUACAAGUCCAGAAGGGUAAUGCGGGGAGUAUGUUUAUCAUGUAAACAGUGAACUGUCUGUAAAAGGGGAAGUUUUAUGCAGUGAUGGGGAUGUGGGAAAUGAGAAACCACGAAUUAAUGAGAAACCCUACCGAGGUUAAAGUAAUUUACUGAUUAAUCUUGAUUCCACUUCUUUUGGUCAGAGUGGAAGGAGAGACUCUUAGGCAAAUAAAAAAGACAUAGCAUUGCGUGAUAAAUCUUUU